UGUGCCAUGAGCACUAACGAGUGUACAUGAAACCAAACAAGGGCACAAAAGAGAAGCUCGAGAAACACAUGCACCACCGGAGAAAAAUGACCAAAGAAUUCGUCUGCAGGGACAGGACGACUGGUUGAAAUCGAGGGAAAGAUGAAUGCGGCCAAGUACAGGGAUGUCCUGGAUGAAAACAUUCUCCAGAGUGCUCAGGACCUCAGACUGGGCUGAAGGUUCACCUUCCAACAAGACACUGACCCUAAGCACACAGCUAAAAUAACGAAGAAGUGGCUUCACAAUAACUCCGUGACUGUUCUUGAAUGGCCCAACCAGAGCCCUGAUUUAAACCCAAUUGAGCAUCUCUGGAGAGACCUGAAAAUGGCUGUCCACCAAUGUUUACCAUCCAAUCUGACAAAACUGGAGAGGAUCUGCAAGGAGCAAUGGCAGAGGAUCCCCAAAUCCAGUCACUCUCAUUGUGCUCCUUGUCGACGCUGCUGUUCACACUGUAAGCUGUUACCUGAGGAAGUCUGGAGGUAAAUGUCCCAACUCUGUGGCUGCGGUAGCGUGUCGGUGAGUGCAGUUGAUCUGCGUGAGUUUGACGCAGAAGAUACUCGGCGCGCAGAAUCGCAUCCCCCCAGCCUUCAGAUCCCACAACCACAGCCGGAGGAGCGCACUGGACCGACCGCUUCAUGAUCACGGCACUCAGCUACUAAUUCAUCAUCCGUGGAACCAUUCGAAUAGAUACAAAGUGUUUGGGUUUAAAAAUGUUGGUUGUCUCCAACGUAACUGUUCCUCAGGGGACGCGCAAAGAGCUCUGAUUGGGUCAUGCGAGAAACUAACGAGCGUCAAUGGAGGCAGAUAAUUCAGCCCCAUUCACACUGUAACACAAUUACUGAAGAUCCCGUUACAUGAUGAGAACGGAUCGUGUGCUGUGAUGUGCAUCAGAGACACCCUAAUUAGUGUAGCACACUGUAUAAAUUAUUAAAAGUAGGCUAAAUAAGAUGUGAUUUAAAGUUAGUGGAUAAAUAGAAGUUGUAUUAUUAUUAUUAUUAUGUUUUUGUGCUUUUGUAAUUUUUUUAAUGUAUGUACAUUUAUAACACUAUUCUUUGUAUUAUAACC